rnacentral:lncRNA from 1 species
UGUGACUACUGAGUGUCUGAAAGGUUCUGCUUGAAUUCUUGCCCUGGCUCUUGGUGAAGGAUCGGCCUGCUGGAUCUGAGUCAUCCACCUAUAAGAGGGACAACACCACACAUUGGUCGCUGCUCUCAAGCCCCUGGAAUACCACCCCACUUGGCUUCUCCUGAUACCACCCACAUAAACAAAAACUUUUUGGGAGUCCUCCAGAAUUUUUAAGAGUUAUCUAAACUAUUGCCUUUAAUGACCAGGAACUCCAAUUUGAGAAGUUACCCUACGUUAAGCCAACAGCAGCCUGGCUCCUUCAUCCUGUGCAGUAUGGGACAGAGCUGGGUCCUUGUUGUCAUCAGCCAGACAAGCACACAUUAAAGCCCACCUUAGCCAUUGGCAUUACAGCUUUAAAAGCAGCUCCAUCCUACCAUGCUGUCACUCUACUCAAUCACGUGAUCUUAACGACCAGCUCUACAUAUCCUCUCUCCAUGCCCCCACCACCAUCCCCCACCAACAAAUCCGGUAAUCUAUCUCUGUCAAUAGUCCUGCAGUGAAUUCCGAAUAAGUUUUUCUCUUCCCUGGCCUGCCGUUUACGUAGUACCCUGGAUGAAUCUAUACUUACUCCAUAGUAAGUAGUACCUUGGAUGAAUCUAUACUUGCAUCCAAUGGAAAUGAGAGUGAUGGUGCAGAGUUAUCCGAAGUAACUCCAGCUAUGUUGUGGAUCUUCUAAUCAUGGGCUCAUCUAAGCCUUCCCAGAUAUCACUCUAGUUUUUACAAUCUUUGUUUAUGACAAUUAGGGCUGUAACAUUGGCUGUAGACAUUUGUUGCAUCAAGGAACUCAGCUUCCACUGAAGUUCUGAAGUUAAUCAGUUUCUGAUCUUGUUCUGCAACUCUCUGCAAGAAGAAAAAUCACCAGGAAAUAGUGCAUCCUGAAAGGAGUCAAAGUUUCCUUAUCCAGCUGGAGCAGUGUGAUCUCGGACCAGAGUCAAUUCCUUGCCCAACAGACUUCACAUUGAGCCAUGAGAAGCAGCCUACUUACCCUUACCUGGACACUUCUCCAAAACCUGUGAAAUGGCCUCUGUCACUGCCUCAAAGCCUCAUCCUUGGUGGGCAACUCACCU